UGGCUCUGGAGAAGCUCAGAAAUUGAGUGCCGAAGGUGCAAGGCGAUGGGGCAGGCCCCGCCGCUAAUCUCUCAGGCAAAAGGACAGAGUUGGAA
rnacentral:ncRNA from 1 species